UACGAAGGGGGCGAGCGUUGUUCGGAUUUACUGGGCGUAAAGGGCGCGUAGGCGGCCGAUCAAGUCAGGCGUGAAAGCCCCGGGCUCAACCUGGGAAUGGCGCUUGGGACUGGUUGGCUUGAGUUCGGGAGAGGAGAGUGGAAUUCCCAGUGUAGAGGUGAAAUUCGUAGAUAUUGGGAAGAACACCGGUGGCGAAGGCGGCUCUCUGGACCGAGACUGACGCUGAGGCGCGAAAGCGUGGGGAGCGAACAGG
rnacentral:rRNA from 1 species